AUCGCUUCUCGGCCUUUUGGCUCAGAUCAAGUGUAGUAUCUGUUCUUAUCAGUUUAAUAUCCGAUACGUCCCCAUCGGGGACUACAUAUUAAAUGGAUUUUUCGAACAGGGAGUCGGAAAUGGGGCUUGCUCCGUCCGCUCCACGAUCGACCCGGUAUUGCAGUACCUCCGGGAAUGGUGCAACACUU
rnacentral:snRNA from 1 species